rnacentral:lncRNA from 1 species
AUCAGGCAACUUCUUUCCAUGAAAGUGAGAUCUGUGCGUCUUGAAGCCGAUAGAUUAUCACAGAAAAACCAGCAACCCUGAUUUUAAAUCAUUUGCCAACAGUGUUAAUGGGCGGUUCCUAAUCCGUUUCUUAAUUUAAGGGUUUGUAAAAUCAAAAAACAGCUCAGAAAUGAUACGAUUAACAUAUGACGGUUGGCCGGACGCGGUGGCUCACGCCUGUAAUCCCAGUAAUUUGGGAGGCUAAGGCGGGUGGAUCACAAGGUCAGGAGUUCAAGACCAGCCUGGCCAACAUGGUGAAACCCUGUCUCUACUAAAAAUCCACAAAUUAGCCGGGUGUGGUGAUGGGCGCCUGUAAUCCCAGCUACUGAGGAGGCUGAGGCAGAGAAGUGCUUGAACCCGGGAGGCAGAAGUUGCAGUGAGCCAAGAUCACGCCACAAAGAAAUGUAUCAGAUUUAAGUUGGGUUGAUCUCAAAGUGAAGGAUGGAGAAAUGAAUUCUCUAUUGUCAUAAGGAAAAGGGAAGUCAUGAAGUUAGAAGGAAUUCCAUCAUCACUUGGGAGAUUUCUGCGAAUCAUCACUAAAGCCAUUCACUUUCUCAUAACUAAACAAGAAUCUUCUUCUGGAGUUAAGUAUCAGAUAUGAAUGUUCUCACUGACCUCAGGAAGCAAAAGUCCUAAAUCAUUAUAUGGCAGUGAAGGUACAAAAAAAAAAAAAAAUCAGCAGGAAAUAAAGCGGAACUGCUGCCAACACAUACAAGCUGCAGUAGCACCCACAAAAUGUGUAGUAUCUAUUCUAACACAUUCAUUGGACUGAUUACAUUGGCUCAUAGACUUGGUUAACUCUGGAAGAACAUAAUAGGUGUUUAUUGUUUACUAUGGGGAUGGGAAACAUAAUUAAGUCUAUAGUCUCCAAUUCUUCUCAAGUUCAAAUGAAACCAACACUUUUGGUUUUGUCUUAACAUUCAGGAUGUGUUUCUAAUUAAACUGAAAUCACAGUA